rnacentral:rRNA from 1 species
GACGAACGCUGGCGGCGUGCUUAACACAUGCAAGUCGAACGGAAAGGCCCUGCUUGCAGGGUACUCGAGUGGCGAACGGGUGAGUAACACGUGGGUGAUCUGCCCUGCACUUCGGGAUAAGCCUGGGAAACUGGGUCUAAUACCGGAUAGGAGCCAUUUUUAGUGUGAUGGUUGGAAAGUUUUUUCGGUGUAGGAUGAGCUCGCGGCCUAUCAGCUUGUUGGUGGGGUAAUGGCCUACCAAGGCGGCGACGGGUAGCCGGCCUGAGAGGGUGGACGGCCACAUUGGGUCUGAGAUGCGGCCCAGGCUCCUACGGGAGGCAGCAGUGGGGAAUAUUGCCCAAUGGGCGCAAGCCUGAUGCAGCGACGCCGCGUGGGGGAUGACGGCCUUCUGGUUGUAAACUCCUUUCGCUAGGGACGAAGCUUUUUGUGACGGUACCUAGAUAAGAAGCACCGGCUAACUACGUG